ACACCACACACCACACACCCCCCGUUCUUUUUUUCCUUUCUUUUCUCUUCUUUUUUUCUCUUUUCUUUUCCUCCUUUCUUUUACGUUUCUCCUUCUUCCUGCAGCCCAGCAAUCGUCCACCCCAAAUCUCUUCUUCUUUUCUCUUUUCUUCCUCUUCUGUUCGACGCCGACCGUCAGACGAAGCCGGAAACUGCCGCUCGUGUCCAGAUCCAGAUCUGCGAAGCCGUCACCAUCUCCUGCUCUUUUCUGUUCACCCUAACCGACGGCCACCCCUAAGCCCAUUCUUUUCGCCACGGCGCAGUGUCUCUGAUAGCCGCACCCUGUCCCAAUCGUCUCUGUCUCCGUUGAAGCCAAACCCAGUCGAGCCCGCGUUUCGUUCGUGUGUAGCUCUGCCCACGCUCGUCGUUCAGAUACAAGCCGUGUAGCAUCCAACAGCUGCGCAUCGUGAAGUCCUCAUCUGUCGCGCAACUCCCCGUUUUCCAAUUGCGGGUCCGACAUCCAUCUUUAUCGUAGUGCACGUCUGUUUUGCCCGCAUCAAUUUCAUUCGAUUGUCGCUGCUUCUAUUUUAUUGUCAAUCGUCAAAGUUAUGCUGUGAGUUCAUUGGUGAUAUUGGAGAGGUCGUGGUUGAAUAUCUAAGUUUCGAGGUGAGCUUCAUUGGAAUUGUUGCUUCAUUCUACUUGGAAUUUAAUUUAUUGGAUUUAGUCUGAUCGAAGAACUUACAUAAACUCGAGACAAAAGUAACAAAGGCGGCAAACCGGCGAGGAAAAGGAAUGAAGCGUGAUUCUCAUAGGAAAUGUGUUAUUUUGCUUCCGCUUAUUGUUUUUGAGGUUUAAAACGCUAUACUAAAACUUAGCACAAUUUUUUUUUUUUUUUUCUGUAAACAGUACUUUUUAAGUUUUGAAUAUUUGAAAUCAGGUCUGACUUAAAGUUGUUUUUCCUCGAUUGUGUGUUUUUCAAUUGACUUACAUUUCAUUUUGUAUCAACCAAAGUCUUUUGUCAAAAGUUAAUGACCUCAACUUAGGUAGAAAAA